rnacentral:rRNA from 1 species
GACGAACACUGGCGGCGUGCUUAACACAUGCAAGUCGAACGGAAAGGCCCUGCUUUUGUGGGGUGCUCGAGUGGCGAACGGGUGAGUAACACGUGAGUAACCUGCCCUUGACUUUGGGAUAACUUCAGGAAACUGGGGCUAAUACCGGAUAGGAGCUCCUGCUGCAUGGUGGGGGUUGGAAAGUUUCGGCGGUUGGGGAUGGACUCGCGGCUUAUCAGCUUGUUGGUGGGGUAGUGGCUUACCAAGGCUUUGACGGGUAGCCGGCCUGAGAGGGUGACCGGCCACAUUGGGACUGAGAUACGGCCCAGACUCCUACGGGAGGCAGCAGUGGGGAAUACUGCACAAUGGGCGGAAGCCUGAUGCAGCAACGCCGCGUGCGGGAUGACGGCCUUCGGGUUGUAAACCGCUUUCGCCUGUGACGAAGCGUGAGUGACGGUAAUGGGUAAAGAAGCACCGGCUAACUACGUG